rnacentral:lncRNA from 1 species
AGAGGCUUAGUAUGAAGGAGAACACUUUCAGGGGACCAAGUCAGAGAUAAGUCUGCAACCACAGCAAUGGCCCUUUAGAAAGCAUUUAAGAGGCCUGGUGCUUUUUGAGCUGCUUUGAUGACGUGGCAAUGGCUGGAGGGGAAAAGCAGCGGCACAGCUGCCUGCCAUUGGCCUGGUCUUUUUCACUGUGCUCAGUGUUGUCAUCACGAAGCCUCUCAUGCAGCGCGAUGUCAGGAUGGGCCCAUGCGCGGGUGGAAGGCAUGUGGGGGCCAUGUUGCCAGCUGCGGAUGGACAGGCUUCUGAUAUCAGGCUGUGACAGCACUGUCAUCUCCCAAGAAUCCAGCAUCCGUCUGCAUGGAUUGCAUGCCAUCCUUGAAUCCACUCACUUGCCCAGCCCCUGAACCAACUGAUGAAUGUGGUGAAGUCUUCCCUUCGUCACCCCAGGUGCAGCCACAGCCUCUGCAGCCACCCUGGGGGAGAGACAGCUCCAGAUUCCCGCAAGGAGCAAAGAGAUUUUUGACUUUGUCUUCUUUUAUUGACAUUGAGGAGAAGCUUCUGACUCAGGCGAGCCUCACAAUAAGCUGUUUUUCAACUUCAGUAGACCCGGACCUGCUAAGGUGAGGUGUUCUGGAAGGGUCUCUGCUCCUAGCAGUCACUGGCAGCUUGCCCAAAUUGGAGAAGUUUAACAUCUCUUUUCUCUGAGAAGUAAAAUGUGUUUCUUUGGUGGAUGUGAAACCAACAAACCACUGUGGUGCCUCUCUACAUCUGAAGGAUGAGCCAGCCAAGCCAGGGGAACUGACGACCCCACACACGUCUGCACUGCUGUGGCCGUGUUGAACACGGACUCCUUCUUCAGGGCAGCCUUGGGCCAUCGGAGGGCUGCUGUAUGCAGUGACGGCCACCAAGUGUCCUUGGCCAGGGGAGUGAUUUACAGGGACUGAGAUCCUGACUUGUGACCCAGACACGAAUGCAUCCUUGUUCCAUUUUGUUAUUGCUCAACCGUCAUCUGGCCAUCCCCAAAGCCCACCUCUGUGAGAAAGGCCAGUGCUUGUCCUCGUGACACCCCUGAGACCUCGAUGGAGCAAGUCCCAGGGCCCAUCAUACAUUUUUAAAGAAAAUCUUCUUUUGGUGAGAAGAUCAAAGGGCCAGGCAGAAAUGGAAAAGCACUUUCUGGCAUCAGACUUCCUCUGACUUCUCCGGUUGCCACACCACUGAAAGACUGCCCCACAGUGCGAGGGACGUCCACAUCUGCCUGGCUCUCCGAGGGAUGAACAGCCUUCAGUUCAGCUUCCUGUCACACCCCAAAAUCCACCAGGGCUCUGCAGUCAUAGAGCCCUGGAACCCAGAGGUGGAAACUUAAAGGAAUGAGUGCUCUCUCGCUCCAAAACCACAGAUAUCUGGUCCAUAGAGAACCCACCACACUUGUAUACAUUUUCAUACGUCUGCGCACAUACACAAAUGCACAAACACAUGUUCAGCUGUUGAUAAUCAUCUGAUCUUUUGCUCUUUCGAUGUAAAUAUGGCCAGAUAUCUCUGGCUUUAAUUCUCAUUAAAAUUUUGAAAGUUAUACUUUC